GUCAAGCAAUAGAUAGAAGGAAGUCAAUACUACCCUCUUUGCUCCCUGAAAUCACCCUUAUCAGCCAGGAGCUUUUUCUCAGCCUGACAGAAGUACCCUCCCAGCCCUCCCAAGCCACUGUCCCACACAGUGAAGCCAUGGAAGAGACCUCUGCUGCAAAUUUUUCAAGUCUCCCUCCUCCAUCCUGAAGGCUAUCUCAGAUAAGGUGGCGGGGAAAAAAAAGACGUGAGACAAAAUGUUCUCCAAAAUCAUGGAAGUGAUCCAAAGUGAAAGAGCUCAUUUGAACGAGUGGAAGGACGUGGUACCAAAGUACAGGAAAGAUGCCAGUGAACGUGAGGAGAGGAGAGACGCUCGAGAUGAGAUGUGGCGGCAGGAAGAUCAGAGGAGGCAUGAUGCAACGCUGGGGCUGCCGCGUGAUCAAAUGGACAUGCUCUGGUGUCUGGUGGAGCUUCAGGAACAGCAGCAGGAUCACAGAGUGCCACUGCAGCCCCUGUAUAACCACCCUCCCCUCUCACCAUGUUCCUUAGCCUCCUCACCCACCAGAUGACUAAAAACGCGUGGGGGGGGAGGCUCCGUGCUCCUGCCCAUUCCACCCCCAUGGACAGCCCAACCAAAAGGCUGUCAUUAUUUUGAAAUUUUUUUAGUAGCCUUUUCCUUCCGUCCUAUCCUCCUCCCAAACCCCACUCGGGCUACCUUGUCAGUU